GAGUUUGAUCCUGGCUCAGAUUGAACGCUGGCGGCAUGCCUUACACGUGCAAGUCGAACGGCAGCAUGAUCUAGCUUGCUAGAUUGAUGGCGAGUGGCGAACGGGUGAGUAAUACAUCGGAACGUGCCCUGUAGUGGGGGAUAACUAGUCGAAAGAUUAGCUAAUACCGCAUACGACCUGAGGGUGAAAGUGGGGGACCGCAAGGCCUCAUGCUAUAGGAGCGGCCGAUGUCUGAUUAGCUAGUUGGUGGGGUAAAGGCCCACCAAGGCGACGAUCAGUAGCUGGUCUGAGAGGACGAUCAGCCACACUGGGACUGAGACACGGCCCAGACUCCUACGGGAGGCAGCAGUGGGGAAUUUUGGACAAUGGGCGAAAGCCUGAUCCAGCAAUGCCGCGUGUGUGAAGAAGGCCUUCGGGUUGUAAAGCACUUUUGUCCAGAAAGAAAUGGCUCUGGUUAAUACCUGGGGUCGAUGACGGUACCGGAAGAAUAAGGACCGGCUAACUACGUGCCAGCAGCCGCGGUAAUACGUAGGGUCCAAGCGUUAAUCGGAAUUACUGGGCGUAAAGCGUGCGCAGGCGGUUGUGCAAGACCGAUGUGAAAUCCCCGAGCUUAACUUGGGAAUUGCAUUGGUGACUGCACGGCUAGAGUGUGUCAGGGGGGGGUAGAAUUCCACGUGUAGCAGUGAAAUGCGUAGAGAUGUGGAGGAAUACCGAUGGCGAAGCAGCCCCCUGGGAUAACACUGACGCUCAUGCACGAAAGCGUGGGGAGCAAACAGGAUUAGAUACCCUGGUAGUCCACGCCCUAAACGAUGUCAACUAGUUGUUGGGGAUUCAUUUCCUUAGUAACGUAGCUAACGCGUGAAGUUGACCGCCUGG
rnacentral:rRNA from 1 species